rnacentral:tRNA from 1 species
CGGGUGUAGCUCAGUGGUAGAGCACAACCUUGCCAAGGUUGGGGUCGUGGGUUCGAAUCCCAUCACCC